rnacentral:rRNA from 1 species
UACGUAGGGGGGCAAGCGUUGUCCGGAUUUAUUGGGCGUAAAGAGCGUGUAGGCGGCCUGAAAGGUCAGCUGUGAAAACUCGAGGCUCAACCUCGAGACGUCGGUUGAAACCAUCUGGCUAGAGUCCGGAAGAGGAGAGUGGAAUUCCGUGGUGUAGCGGUGAAAUGCGCAGAUAUCGAGGAGGAACACCGAGUGGCGAAGGCAGGUCUGCUUAGGGCAUU